GGGAGACAGUGGGUUCACAUCCCACACACUUCACACUGGCCGCGAGCAGCUUCCAUUGCACAAUCUAGUCACAGACUUUUUUCUUUUCUUCCUCUCCUUCUUAGGGUUGGUCAGAGCAGAAGCUGGGAGGAGAGAAAGG
rnacentral:lncRNA from 1 species